rnacentral:tRNA from 1 species
GCACCUGAGGCUCAAAGGAGUAGGGCGCCAGCCUUCUAUGCUGGAGGUGGCAGGUUCAAACCCAGCCAUGGCCA